rnacentral:lncRNA from 1 species
UAGGUCUUCUGACAAAGGACAGAUUAAAGACCUUGGAAAAUAGGCAGAAGGAUUUCGAGUUCAUGCAGAAGAUGGUGGAAAUUCUAGGACAGAAAAAUGAUCAACUUGGAAGGUUGAGAAUGAGAACAGAUAAAGAAAACCCAAAGGAAAGGCACCAGGCCAGUGCCUGGAACAUAUACUUGAUGUGGAUAGAAGCCAUCCAGAGCAGAUCAUUCUUUCCAAGUCCUUGCUGCAACCAGG